GCUUUCCUCGGCGCCUUUCCUUACCCACGAAGCUUCUCUCCCAAAAAAUCUUCCCCUCUCCUCCCUCCCUUCCCCGGGUGGGCUAGAGUUGCCGCCGUCGCUGCCCCAUCGCCGCAUCCCAGCUCCUCCGCCGCCGGCCACCAGAGAAGGCGCCUCCUGAGAUCCGCUUCCCCCAAACCUUCUCGUCUUCGCGUUCCGCAAGACCUCCAGGAUGGUUGUAGCGAGGUGCCGGCGGAGACCGACGGUGACGGCUACGACAAGGGGAGGAGAUGAAUCCGAAGCAGCUCGAGGGCCUCCUGGGGGCCUGACCAAGUUCUCCGCCGCCUCCCCCGCUUUAUCCUUCUCCUCUCUCAUUCUCUCCCCAUGCCCGUGGCGGCUGCGAGGAGGUAUACGAUGGGGUUCCGCGACCAGAUGAGGGCAAGGGCGUCGAUCUCCCUCCUCCUGCUCCCAAUCGCCGUCGCGGCCACCAUCUGCUAGAUCUUCACCGCCUUAGCGCCGUGGUCCAGCUGAUGGUGCUGCGGUUCUGCUCGGGCGCCAUCACCUGAAGGUCGCUGUUGCCGACGACGAGGACAGAUGGGAGGACGCCGCCGCAACGGAUCUGCUCCCCAUUUCCCUCCACCGUCGGUGGCCAUGUGCGGGUGUCUCCCAGGAUCCAGGUGUGGUCUCGCCGCCAUCGAUGCCAGAGGAGGAAGAGGUGCUCUUCCAUGUCGACUAGAGGAGAAAGAGGAGGAGGAGGAGGCGCUUCUCCGACCAGACCCAGGGUCGGGGCCGGCACGCCACGGGCAUCUACGCCUGCGACCACGACCACACGCACGGGCUGACGCCGCUGAUGAAGAUGCGUACCCUUAGCCACGAGUUUGUCCCUGAUCCCAUCCAUGCAGGUGGGCUUCGCUGCCAUUGAAUGACACCUCUGAUCUCCCAUGUAGAUGAGCUCGGGUUUAUGGAAGCCAUGUCCAUAAAGCAAACUGAGUGCUUCGAAGUUUUGUAGAAAAGGAAUUGGAAGCUCGGAGAGACCUCACGUGAAUCAACAGGUUUGACUCCUUUUAGUCUUUGGUUAUUUCCAAAGCGGAAACCCAUGAAAUGUCGGGAUCAAAAUCCCAGGUCAGAUGGAAGUGUGGGCAUUCAUGAUUACUGUACAAGUAACUGAUUUUGUGGAACAUGCUUCUUACUUUCUUGUCUGAAUGCUUAAUAGUAUAUUACCCUUGCAAUGUGAUGGAACCAGUAGACUUUAUACCCUUGACCCUUGCAAUGUCUGAAGCAAAACAAAAUUUGGAUCACAUUUUAGAUCUUUUGUUGAAAACAAAGUUUCUAUCAGGCUUUAGAUCUGUUAUUUCCUUGUUCUAAUCAGCAUAAACUGAAUUAUUUUAUCUGAUUGCAAAUUAUCAUCAAACUGUGGUGUUUCAUCGAGGACGAUCUUUAUCAACAAUGAGGAGGAUUUGCAGAAGAUGAGAUUUCAAAUGGCUUGAAUAAGAAGAGAUGCAGAUCAGUAUUCUGGACAGGUUCUUGAUCCUAACCAGUCCACGGUGCCGUAGCCGUCGUCCUGAUUCCUUGGACGCCGCCGACGCAAGCGACAAGAGAAGGUGAGAUCGAAUCCAUAUGUUCUUUCUUUUUCCCCGUCCGUCCCGUGGAUUUUUCCUGUAUUUUGGUGAGCUCCUGAACCACCUGAUUUGUUCUUUCAUGCAAGCACACCUCUAGCUCGGCUUGUGGCGGCGGCGGGUAUUGCUGGAGUGGAGGCGCCUUUCGUUUUUCGUCCUCUUGUUCGUGCGAAGGCGCAGAAGGUCGGAUGAGGAAGUAUGAGAACAGCAAAAGAGGAGAUGGGAAAGGGUGGCGUGUUGUGGGACAACCCGGCGCUGGUGGACGCCUUAGACCACCCCGUCACCACCUACAAGCUAUGCGCCCUGGUCCCCUUUUGAUCCUCUUGCCCUUUCCUCCUUGCUGGUGGCGUGUCAGGUCCUACGCAAUUUACAACUGUGGAUCUCGCGAAUUGUAAGAGGAAAUCAUGGCAAUUGCUGGAUCUGGAGUAUAUGAUCUGUAGGAGGAGCAGUGUUCGUAUAUAGGUUCAUGCCAUUAGGCUAGAAUGGGGAAUUCUCAAUGGUCAACUACAACCACAACCCGGCUUAGUUAUAGGUGUACUUUUACCCACGAGCUCAACAACAACUAAACAUUAAACAGGACAGGUAACAGUAAAUCGGACGGUCCAGCGACGAAGUAAAACGAGGAGCUCAUCAGAUGUUGAUGAAUCUGUAUGUCCCGGAAGAGCUACACCUAACUGAAGAUAGGUGCAGCCUGACAUGGCGUUCUGGUACUGCUCACUGAGAUCCCUCAAGCUACAUCAUUGGAUAAUUGAACAUAUUAGCACAUAGUUAACUUGAUCCACAACAAAAAAUGUGAUGACAUGCAUGUUCGACAAGAAGACGAUCAACACCACUCUCCCUAAACAGAUCGUAAGAUCACACUAAGAGGCAAGAAGGAUGGUAUGGAAUCGACAGGUGAUCCGGUUAUGUUUAGUUACGUUACAUGUGGUGAAUGAGUAUGAAUCUAUCGUUCAGCUUAUGUAUCCCUGGACACUAUUCUCUUAUAUAAUGCUUCUUUGUUGAUCAUCCACUAUUAGUCAUCCAUUCACAUUGUCAGGACUCAUGAUCCAGUUAGUUGCGGCUAGAAAUGGCGACUACUGCUUUCUUUUUUAAUGAAAUUAGUAACAAUUAAUAAAAAUCUAAAACUGGAGCUAUUUCUUUUUCCAAACAAAUGAUAAUGAUGUAAUUUUGUGCUAUAAACUAAAUUUGUUGUCCAGAUGAUAACCCACUUUCCUUUUCACUUUUUGAGGUGAGAUAGAUGGACCGUAAUAGGACUUGUGUUUACUCAUUUUUGUUGUUUUCUUUUCCGUAUGAGUCUUUCUUUUCCAUGUUGAGUCAAAUGCCCCUGAUAUUUUUUCUUUUACUUUUCAGGUUUCCUGGAACUAAUAGAUGGAGGGGGUGCUAGGGUUGGGAUUGGGGUCGGAUGAAUUACUCUGUCGAAUUUGUUCGCUGCUGUGUAGUAGUAUGUACAAGAUAACUGUAAUGGUCCCUUUUUGUUUCAUGAAUAGAUGUAGUUUUCCGUGCAUUUCUCUCUGGUUGAAUAGAUCAAUUGAAUUUGCUCCUUUAUUUUUUAUGUGAAAGAACUCAGGGGUUCUCCCACAUUUAUGCAUAUAUUACUGCUCGUUUGCAUUGGGCUAAUUGAUUUUGACGGCUUGUAGGCAAUGCAUGGUAAGAACAACCAAGCUGCUCCAUCUGAGAAACAAGAGUCAGAAGAUGUAGCUACCGUUGCGGAAGAACCUGUCUGUACUGAAGUAGCAGAUGAGUAAGUAGGCUGUACACCUCCUGAUAGGGUGUACUGAUGCUUCAAUUAAUAGUUUGUCCUGUUUUACUGGUAUGACAGUGAUUAUUCUGUGCAAAGAUGGCAAUUUUUUUUUGUUAAAACUAGAGUCUGUAGAAACUAGAAAGGACGGUGCUAUGUUCCUGUCUGUCUUUUUCUCUGAAUAUUUUGUUUAGAACUUGUUCCUAGCAGAUUUGAAAAUUCUCGAGAGGAGAUAAAUUGCAGCAGUACAGCCUAUCACAUGAUGGAGAAAAGGAGUGUAGAGAAGAACAUUUGGCUUGAGCUGGAACAUGAGGUAUAUGCUUUUUCAGUUCACGCACAUUUUUUUUCCUGUUUUCAGCUAAUGAUAGUUCAGUUCACGCACAUUCUUCUACUGAAUGGACUUGACCAACAAGGACAUAGAAGCACUCUUGGGUGGACAUACUCCGGAGAAAAGCUCCUCCUGAUAGCUCGGGAUUCGACUACAGCUGGACAAAAGAUCCUCUGAAGUUUGAUAACUCCUACUUCAUGUAAGCUUAAUUGCCGCGGUUGUAGAUUGCAACACAUCGGCUAAAGAUUAUAUGUAGCUGUAAUGUCAUCAGUGCAACAUUAUGAAGUUGUACAUCACUGGACUUCAUCUUUUGUAUAUGCUGCAAUGAGCUUCUGAAAGGGGACUCCAACGGACUCACGAAGCUGCUUAUAGACAAGGUUCUCGUGGAGGAUCGAGCUUUCCGUCCCUUAGUUGAAUUAUACGCAAAGGUAAAGAAGAGUUGAAUUCAUCUUCAUUAGCUUGUUGGAUACGUUGGCAGGACGCGUUCUUCAGGGACUACGCGAAGUCGCACAAGCAGCUUUCCAAGCUCUACUUUACUGGCGUGGACAUGCACAGACAAAGCCAAGAGGGCUGUCAUAAGAACUAUCAUUGUCUUCCCAGUUGCGGUUGCCGUCAUCGCCUGCGCUUACAUCUUUGAAUCAAAGAGAAGGCUUGGUGGUUAGACUGCAAGUCUCCAUGUUUAGAUGAUUGCGAUUCAGUUAUGGGUUUUGAAGAACAAAGUUAAUCAUCCAUUGAGAUGUUGUGCACUUGUAUUUGUAAUUAAUCUGUUGAUACAGUGACGAGGAUGCAGAUAUAUGCUACCAUCCAUGUAAUAUUAUUAAUGGAAUAAGGAAACUGUUGAUUAUGCA